CUGUUUUGCCAAUCAAAUAGCUCACACCACUGCAACACAGCCAACCAGCACACAGGACAGCUGAUGCGGGAGGAGGAAUUCUUGUCCAAGAGCAGUGAGAGAAACUUUUCCUUUACUUGGAAAGGUCCAGAACAGAAGGGCCUGUACCCGGAUUUGCUGGGAGGAAUGCAUUUAAGAAAUUAAAGAAGUCAGUCUAAACAGAAUAUAUUGAAAACAACAAACCAAGUGACACAGAAGUUGGGAAACAUGAGCACAAUUAAAUCGCCUCCCUAUCAUAUCACUGCUGGUUCUUAUUUGAGAAGAAAACCUCAAGCUUCUCACUGUCCAAUUCUUAUCAAAACAACAGGGAAACGCUGAUAAUCUCAGAAGAAUAUUUGGAUUAGUGAAACUCACAACCACUGUCAGAAGUCUAUCUCUUUGGCUUUCUGUUCUGAAGUAGCAGAGUCUACUCCAACAAGAUUCAUGAGACCAAACUAC